rnacentral:rRNA from 1 species
ACUCAAAGGAAUUGACGGGGGCCCGCACAAGCGGCGGAGCAUGUUGCUUAAUUCGAUGCAACGCGAAGAACCUUACCUAGGCUUGACAUGCACGGAAAUCUCGCAGAGAUGCGGGGUCCGUAAGGGCCGUGCACAGGUGGUGCAUGGUUGUCGUCAGCUCGUGUCGUGAGAUGUUGGGUUAAGUCCCGCAACGAGCGCAACCCUCGUUCCAUGUUGCCAGCACGUGAUGGUGGGGACUCAUGGGAGACUGCCGGGGUCAACUCGGAGGAAGGUGGGGAUGACGUCAAAUCAUCAUGCCCCUUAUGUCUAGGGCUGCAAACAUGCUACAAUGGCCGGUACAAAGGGCUGCGAUACCGUGAGGUGGAGCGAAUCCCAAAAAGCCGGUCUCAGUUCGGAUUGGGGUCUGCAACUCGACCCCAUGAAGUUGGAGUCGCUAGUAAUCGCAGAUCAGCAACGCUGCGGUGAAUACGUUCCCGGGCCUUGUACACACCGCCCGU